rnacentral:rRNA from 1 species
GCGGCGUGCCUAACACAUGCAAGUCGAACGCGAAAGUGGAGCAAUCCAUGAGUAGAGUGGCGAACGGGUGCGUAACGCGUGGGAAUCUGCCCUUUGGUUCGGAAUAACAGUUGGAAACGACUGCUAAUACCGGAUGAUGACGAAAGUCCAAAGAUUUAUCGCCAGAGGAUGAGCCCGCGUAGGAUUAGCUAGUUGGUGUGGUAAAGGCGCACCAAGGCGACGAUCCUUAGCUGGUCUGAGAGGAUGAUCAGCCACACUGGGACUGAGACACGGCCCAGACUCCUACGGGAGGCAGCAGUGGGGAAUAUUGGACAAUGGGCGAAAGCCUGAUCCAGCAAUGCCGCGUGAGUGAUGAAGGCCUUAGGGUUGUAAAGCUCUUUUACCCGGGAUGAUAAUGACAGUACCGGGAGAAUAAGCUCCGGCUAACUCCGUGCCAGCCGCCGCCGUAAGAC